rnacentral:rRNA from 1 species
AUUGAACGCUGGCGGAAUGCUUUACACAUGCAAGUCGAACGGCAGCACGGGUGCUUGCACCUGGUGGCGAGUGGCGAACGGGUGAGUAAUGCACCGGAACGUAUCCAAUAAUGGGGGAUAACGCACCGAAAGGUGUGCUAAUACCGCAUACGCCCUGAGGGGGAAAGCGGGGGAUCGUAAGACCUCGCGUUAAUGGAGCGGCCGAUGCCGGAUUAGCUAGUUGGUGAGGUAAAGGCUCACCAAGGCGACGAUCCGUAGCUGGUCUGAGAGGACGACCAGCCACACUGGAACUGAGACACGGUCCAGACUCCUACGGGAGGCAGCAGUGGGGAAUUUUGGACAAUGGGCGCAAGCCUGAUCCAGCCAUUCCGCGUGAGUGAAGAAGGCCUUCGGGUUGUAAAGCUCUUUCGCAAGGAAAGAAAACUUAUCUCCUAAUACGAGGUGAGGAUGACGGUACCUUGAUAAGAAGCACCGGCUAAUUACGUGCCAGCAGCCGCGGUAAUACGUAGGGUGCGAGCGUUAAUCGGAAUUACUGGGCGUAAAGCGUGCGCAGGCGGCUUUUUAAGCCAGAUGUGAAAUCCCCGGGCUUAACCUGGGAACUGCAUUUGGAACUGGAAGGCUAGAGUGCGGCAGAGGGGGGUAGAAUUCCACGUGUAGCAGUGAAAUGCGUAGAGAUGUGGAGGAAUACCGAUGGCGAAGGCAGCCCCCUGGGUCGACACUGACGCUCAUGCACGAAAGCGUGGGGAGCAAACAGGAUUAGAUACCCUGGUAGUCCACGCCCUAAACGAUGUCAACUAGUUGUUGGAGGAGUGAAAUCCUUUAGUAACGAAGCUAACGCGUGAAGUUGACCGCCUGGGGAGUACGGUCGCAAGAUUAAAACUCAAAGGAAUUGACGGGGACCCGCACAAGCGGUGGAUGAUGUGGAUUAAUUCGAUGCAACGCGAAGAACCUUACCUACCCUUGACAUGUCCGGAACUUGCCAGAGAUGGCUUGGUGCCCGAAAGGGAACCGGAACACAGGUGCUGCAUGGCUGUCGUCAGCUCGUGUCGUGA